rnacentral:rRNA from 1 species
UACAGAGGGUGCAAGCGUUAAUCGGAAUUACUGGGCGUAAAGCGCACGCAGGCGGCGCGGUAAGUCUGAUGUGAAAUCUCCCGGCUUAACUGGGAGGGGUCAUUGGAAACUGCCGAGCUUUGAGGCGAUGAGAGGGGUGUAGAAUUCCCGGUGUAGUGGUGGAAUGCGUAGAUAUCGGGGAGGAACACCAGUGGCGAAGGCGGCUUCCUGGCCUGUUCUUGACGCUGAGGCGGCGAAAGCCAGGGGAGCAAAGCGGGG